rnacentral:rRNA from 1 species
AGUGAAAUGCGUAGAUAUCUGGAGGAACAUCAGUGGCGAAGGCGACUUCCUGGCUUAAAACUGACGCUGAGGUGCGAAAGCGUGGGUAGCGAACGGGAUUAGAUACCCCGGUAGUCCACGCCGUAAACGAUGUCAACUAGUUGUUGGUCUUAUUAAAAAGAUUAGUAACGAAGCUAACGCGAUAAGUUGACCGCCUGGGGAGUACGGUCGCAAGAUUAAAACUCAAAGGAAUUGACGGGGGCCCGCACAAGCGGUGGAGCAUGUGGUUUAAUUCGAUGCAACGCGAAGAACCUUACCAUCCCUUGACAUGUAGUGAACUUUCUAGAGAUAGAUUGGUGCCUUCGGGAACACUAACACAGGGUGCUGCAUGGNCUGUCGUCAGCCUCGCUGUCGUGAGAUGUUGGGUUAAGUCCCGCAAACGAGCGCAACCCNUAUCUUUAGUUGNUACCAUUAAGUGGAGAACUCUAAAGAGACUGCCGGUGAUAAACCGGAGGAAGGUGGGGACGACGUGCAAGUCAUCAUGGCCCUUAUGGGAUGGGCUAUCACACGUGCUACAAUGGGGGGUACAAAGAGCAGCCAACUGGCAACAGUGCGCGAAUCUCAAAAAACCUCUCGUAGUCCGGAUCGGAGUCUGCAACUCGACUCCGUGAAGUCGGAAUCGCUAGUAAUCGUGGAUCAGAAUGCCGCGGUGAAUACGUUCCCGGGCCUUGUACACACCGCCCGUGCACACCAUGGGAGUGGAUGGCAAAAGAAGUAGUGUAGCCUAACCUUCGGGAGGGCGCUUACCACUUUGUGGUUCAUGACUGGGGUGAAGUCGUAACAAGGUAUCC